rnacentral:rRNA from 1 species
AACGAACGCUGGCGGCGUGCUUAACACAUGCAAGUCGAACGAGAAAUCUCGGGCAACUGGGAGAGUAAAGUGGCGCACGGGUGAGUAACACGUGGGUAACCUGCCUUUAAAUUAGGGAUAACACUUCGAAAGGAGCGCUAAUACCAAAUAACAUUUCAGCCCCCCCGGGGGCUGAAAUCAAAGGUGGCCUCUGCAUGCAAGCUACUGUCUAAAGAUGGGCCCGCGUACCAUUAGCUAGUUGGUAGGGUAAUGGCCUACCAAGGUGACGAUGGUUAGCGGGUCUGAGAGGAUGGCCAGCCACACUGGAACUGAGAUACGGUCCAGACUCCUACGGGAGGCAGCAGUGGGGAAUCUUGCGCAAUGGGGGAAACCCUGACGCAGCAACGCCGCGUGGGUGAUGAAGGCCUUCGGGUCGUAAAGCCCUGUCAGGUGGGAAGAAACAUGUUGGUGCCAAUACCACCAGCAAUUGACGGUACCACCGGAGGAAGCACCGGCUAACUCCGUGCCAGCCGCCGCAGUAAAAC